rnacentral:lncRNA from 1 species
CUAAAUCAUUCUAGCAAAUCCCAUAACAGAUCAAAGAAAAACUCAUAGUUCCCUUCAUUCAGAUACUAAAGACCCAAAAUGCAUAAACUAUAUAGUAAUAAUAUGUUUAUCACAUUUUACUACUUAAAUACCAAGAUCCAGAAAACACGUGUUAAGCAAAACAAAAACAGUAUUUUACCUAUUAUUCACGUAAAUUAGUUAAGCAAAACAAAAACAGUAUUUUACCUAUUAUUCACGUAAAUUAGACAAAUUUCUGUAUCUUCCGCCGAUAAAAAUAGAUAAAGAAAUACAUAAAGUAGCUACGAGAAAAGGAAAGAGAAAAUCGAACCUUGGUUAUGUAACAGAGAUCGUCAACCAUAUUUUUCCUUUUUUGCUCAAAAGGUGAGCUGGGAUUUAAGCCUUCUUUGUUCAUCACCAUCUUCUCUACAUUUUCUAUAUCGUAAGAUACAUAAACUAAAAUACAUAAAGAGAGAGUUUUAGAACAAAAAAAAAAAAAAAAACACCAAUUUUUAUGAGCUUUUUCUCGUGAAAACAAUAUGAUGAGAUGACCGUUGUCACGCCACUUUUUCUUGAUGGUUCAAGAUUUUCCCUUCAGAUUUACGCCUCACGCACACUCAUCACUCUUUUUCUCUCUCUAGACUAUUUCACUUACUAUUUU